AACAGCGAUUAUUUGCCGCCAAUUUUAAUAAUAAUUUCGCGCGGAAAAUUUCGUCGUCAUGGUAACGCGCGGGAAACAAGUAAUUUAGUGAAGUUAGUCGCGUUUCGUCUUCCGUGUGCCGGUGCAUCGUACUUUCGCUGCGUGUCGACAUAUUAUUUUUAUUGAAGUUUCGUCGUGAAGAUUAUGUUUCAGACGCUCGGAAGCGUCGCUCGAGCUCCUCGCUUAUCUCUGUUUGGAUCACGAAGGAUUAUUGUGACUAGCCUGGUCUGACUUUUCCUGGAAGAGACUCGCUCACUGCUCCCCCACUCCACCUACCUUCUCUCUCCAACCUUCCCUAAAUCUUCCAUAACCGUUCAGGACUUUUUCGAGUGCAGAUUGUAUCAAUUGCGCGUUUUCGUAUCUCUCGCGUCUUUUUUUACCCGUCCAAAUAAAUUAUUUCGCGGUAAAUAAGUGUCGGGAGUGCCUUAAAUUAAACAAGCGAAUUUGUAUCUCUAUUAAUCCGUACAAUUAUUCGCAAUUAUAACGCAUCUUUUAAUAUUAAUUUCGUAAAAGUGUUGAAUUAGUGAAAGACAUUUUAUACACAAAAAUACAUAAUACGCAAGUGGAUGUGUAUAACCAAAAAUACUAUAAUUGUCUGGAGCAAAGAAAGAAUCAGGAAGGAACGAAGUAAUCGAGAUAAUCGAAUCGAUGAUGCAACGCGGCGAUAUAUCGAUUGGAAAUUUCGCGCAGGAAACGUAACGAUUAGGAAACGAGACUCGAACGCAAUCGCGAGGGACGUUUAGCAGGAGAUAAAAAUGCGGGAUUCCUCCCCGUCGUCGUGCUCGGAAAUAAAAGAAUCCGCCGAAGGAAGUAGCGAAAGACGCGAAGGAAGGAAAGGAUCAUCGGUGCGGAUGCGGGGGUGCGGGUGCAAGGGGGCGAGUGCGGGUGCGGGUGCGUGGACCUGCGCGCGAGCGACCGCCUGGAAUUCGCAGCAUCGGCUCUGCGCGAGGGCGCGUGGCGGAUCGAGGGUGUCAGUCACAGGCCAUCCGCUCAGCAACGAGCACAUCGAUGGUCGUAAUUAGGAUAGCCGAAUUGGACGCAGAGAGAAGCACCGUCGCUAGCGAGCGCUAAUCGCCGACGAGGAAAAUUCACAUACACACUCAGAGAGAGAGAGAGGUGUCUGCAAAUCCGCGAUCCUGCGCGAACUCGCGGAGCGGUAAGCUCCUCCAAUAAUUCGGGAACGGCACGUGUGUCGAUCAAGAGGCGCGUAAUCACACACCACGUCACGGCGGGGCAAAUGUUCCCGACGAGCUUUCGCGAGAUCCCGCCACCGAGCAUCAGCAAACCCGGGAAGAACCGUCGCCGGCAGGAGAAACGUCACUUCCCGGUCCGCUUCCGGUCCGCUCACGGACACCGGUCGGGCGGUCGCCGUCGCGAUGAAGUGAGCGAUUGGUCGGGCUUGUCGACUUCCAUGACGAAAAAAAAAACGUAAACGACAUAGUGUUCAACGACGCGCGUCUUGCUUCGUCUUCGCAUCGAUCGAUCUAUCUCUGAACGAUCUCCUCGGAAGAGAGAUAUCGAAAGCUGAAAUUCUCCGAAAGUAGAGAGAGAAAAUAACGUUAAAGGGAAUAGAUCGGGGUCGAGAGACAAGGCUGCGACAAACAGCGGCAACGAGAACGAGAACGAGGAUAACGACGACGAUGACGAUACGAUAGGCGGUAGUUAAACCGUUAACGAUAAGGGUCGCGAUAUAGAAGGAAUAGCGCAAUCGCGACAUAUAUAUAUACCUAGCGCGUUGGUAGUUCGCUAUAUAAUAAAUUA